UACGUAGGGUGCAAGCGUUAAUCGGAAUUACUGGGCGUAAAGCGUGCGCAGGCGGUUUUGUAAGUUUGUCGUGAAAGCCCCGGGCUCAACCUGGGAAUUGCGAUGAAGACUGCAAGGCUUGAAUCUGGCAGAGGGGGGUAGAAUUCCACGUGUAGCAGUGAAAUGCGUAGAGAUGUGGAGGAACACCGAUGGCGAAGGCAGCCCCUGGGUCAAGAUUGACGCUCGAUGCACGAAAGCGUGGGGAGCAAACAGG
rnacentral:rRNA from 1 species